GAUUCGGCCGGAAUAAACCCGCAAAGUCGGCAUCCCAAAAAGGUGAAAAUAUGGGAUGCCAACUUUGUGAGUUUAUUUCGGCCGAAUC
rnacentral:miRNA from 1 species